rnacentral:rRNA from 1 species
UACGUAGGGGGCAAGCGUUGUCCGGAUUUAUUGGGCGUAAAGCGCGCGUAGGCGGCGCGGUAUGUCGUGCGUGAAAUCUCCCGGCUUAACUGGGAGGGGCCGUGCGAAACUGCCGGGCUUGAGGUCAGGAGGGGAAAGUGGAAUUCCGGGUGUAGUGGUGGAAUACGUAGAUAUCCGGAGGAACACCAGCGGCGAAGGCGGCUUUCUGGUCUGAUACUGACGCUGAGGCGCGAAAGCGUGGGGAGCGAUCCGG